rnacentral:rRNA from 1 species
CCUACGGGAGGCUGCAGUGAGGAAUAUUGGUCAAUGGCCGGAAGGCUGAACCAGCCAUGCCGCGUGAAGGUCAGUGCCCUAUGGGCGUUAAACUUCUUUUGUGCGGGGGCAAUUAUGGUCACGUGUGGCCCGACGAGAGUACCGUACGAAUAAGCAUCGGCUAACUCCGUGCCAGCUGCCGCGGUAAUACGGGGGAUGCAAGCGUUAUCCGGAUUUAUUGGGGUUAAAGGGUGCGUAGGCGGGGAGGUAAGUCAGCGGGGAAAUGCCCCCGCUCAACGGGGUGAAGUGCCAUUGAUACUGACUUGCUGGAAUGCGGAUGCCGUGGGAGGAAUGUGUGGUGUAGCGGUGAAAUGCAUAGAUAUCACACAGAACACCGAUUGCGAAGGCAUCUCACGAAUCCGCGAUUGACGCUGAUGCACGAAAGCGUGGGUAUCAAACAGGAUUAGAUACCCUUGUAGUC